rnacentral:rRNA from 1 species
AUUGAACGCUGGCGGCAUGCUUUACACAUGCAAGUCGAACGGCAGCGCGGGCUUCGGCCUGGCGGCGAGUGGCGAACGGGGAAGUAAUGCAUGGGAACGUGCCCAGUAGUGGGGGAUAGCCCGCCGAAGGCGGGAUUAUUACCGCAUCCGACCUGAGGGUGAAGGGGGGGGACCGAAAGGCCUCGCGCUAUUGGAGCGGCCGAUGUCGGAUUAGCUAGUUGGUGGGGUAAAGGCUUACCAAGGCGACGAUCCGUAGCUGGUCUGAGAGGACGACCAGCCACACUGGGACUGAGACACGGCCCAGACUCCUACGGGAGGCAGCAGUGGGGAAUUUUGGACAAUGGGGGCAACCCUGAUCCAGCCAUGCCGCGUGCGGGAAGAAGGCCUUCGGGUUGUAAACCGCUUUUGUUCGGGAAGAAAUCCUCUGGGCUAAUACCCCGGGGGGAUGACGGUACCGGAAGAAUAAGCACCGGCUAACUACGUG